rnacentral:rRNA from 1 species
GUGUCAGCAGCCGCGGUAAGACGUAGGUGGCAAGCGUUACUCGGAAUUACUAGGCGUAAAGCGCGCGUAGGCGGAAUGUUAAGUCUGUUGUGUAAUCUCUGGGCUCAACCCAGAAACUGCAACGGAAACUGGCGUUCUUGAGUGAGGCAGAGGAGAUCGGAAUUCCUAGUGUAGCAGUGAAAUGCGUAGAUAUUAGGAGGAACACCGGUGGCGAAGGCGGAUCUCUGGGCCUUUACUGACGCUCAAGUGCGAAAGCUAGGGGAGCAAACGGGAUUAGAUACCCCGGUAGUCCUAGCCGUAAACGAUGAUAACUAGGUGUGGGAGGUAUCGACCCCUUCCGUGCCGACGCUAACGCAUUAAGUUAUCCGCCUGGGGAGUACGGCCGCAAGGUUAAA